rnacentral:lncRNA from 1 species
AUGUAUUAAAGCUGUACUGCAGAAGGAUCCAAGUGGCCUGCGUGCGUUUUGCUGGCGAGACGGUAGCGUGGGUCAAAAAGUUAUCUUGGUCAGAUUGGCUUAUGAACGUGUGUGUAGGCAUUUUUAAAAUUGAUAUUUUUCCAAUAUCUUGAAGGAACUCAAAUGAUCAUACUAGAUGGAAAACUCAGCAAUUAAGUGGAAAAUGCUACCAGUACAAGCCAUGUUGUGGAUUAUUCCAGUAAUUAUCCUGAAUGAAAGAACAUGGGCAACAGCAGGAGUGGAGAAUGUCCAGAUCCACUGGUAAACAGAUCUGUGAAACAUCUUAAGAGAUUCUGAACUGACUUAUAAGGAAAAAUCAAAACAUGGAAAGUAACAAAUUGAAUAAAAACAACUAGAUACAAAUGGAGACAGUGUAUAAAGCACCAUGCUUCCGCACAAUAGGCAUAAAGAAAAACCCAAAACGAGAAAAUGUUUUCAAAGUCUGAAAUGAAAAAUCUGCCAAGCAUGUACCUGUCCCAUGGAGAAUGAGCACCUAGGGAGUGGAUAGGCUGCCAUAUUGAAUGGGACAAGCAAUUUCUGGAGUCCUGAAGCUUACUUUUUGCUACAGGAUGCCCUCUUGGAAAGAAGAAAAUUCACAAGAAUUGGCAAAGCUGUUUCAGAAAAAGACAUUCUUCAUAAUCUUCCAGCUUAAAGGAAAGCUAAGAGUGUAUAGUCACUGCAGCAAGAUUUUCCAAGCUUUUUUUUUAACACUUAAAAUAUUUCUUUGUUCUGUACCCUUCCAUUACUUCAGUGUUUAUCUUUACUGGGGAGCAAAGCCAGCACUUUGUUUGAACUAAAUAAUAUAGUCAGAGGGUGUUUUGCUCUGUUUUGUACAUGUAUGUGGCAGAAGGAUAAUGUGUGUGUGUGUGUGUGUAUGUCUGUGUGUGUCUGUGUGUGUGUGUGUGUGUGUGUUUGCCUUGUUUCUUGGACCCCAUCAUGACAUUUUAUGCAAAAAUACAAGACUGGAAAAGUUGGAUUACACCUUCAAAUCACCUGCAAAGAUAGAAUAAUAGCAGAUGACUAUCUUUUAGAUAAAGUAGAACACCUUAUUGUUGUCUCUUGACAUGAUGAACAACUUGGCAAGGAAUUCUUUUCCUUUUGUGU